GAAAUGCGAUAAGUAAUGUGAAUUGCAGAAUUCAGUGAAUCAUCGAAUCUUUGAACGCACAUUGCGCUCGCCAGUAUUCUGGCGAGCAUGCCUGUUCGAGCGUCAUUUCAACCAUCAAGCUCUGCUUGCGUUGGGGAUCCGCGGCUGCCCGCGGUCCCUCAAAAACAGUGGCGGGCUCGCUAGUCACACCGAGCGUAGUAACUCUACAUCGCUAUGGUCGUGCGGCGGGUUCUUGCCGUAAAACCCCCAAUUUCUAAGGUUGACCUCGGAUCAGGUAGGAAUACCCGCUGAACUUAA
rnacentral:misc_RNA from 1 species